GCGAGGAAUUUUCCGCAAUGGGCGAAAGCCUGACGGAGCAAUGCCGCGUGAAGGAUGAAGGCCUAUGGGUUGUAAACUUCUUUUCUCAGAAAAGAAUUAUGACGGUAUCUGAGGAAUAAGCAUCGGCUAACUCUGUGCCAGCAGCCGCGGUAAGACAGAGGAUGCAAGCGUUAUCCGGAAUGAUUGGGCGUAAAGCGUCUGUAGGUUGUUUAAAAAGUAUUCUGUCAAAGAUUAGGGCUUAACCCUAGAUAGGCAGAAUAAACUUUUAAGCUAGAGUUUGGUAGAGGCAGAGGGAAUUCCCGGUGGAGCGGUGAAAUGCGUAGAUAUCGGGAGGAACACCAAAGGCGAAGGCACUCUGCUGGGCCAAUACUAACACUGAGAGACGAAAGCGAGGGGAGCAAAUGGGAUUAGAAACCCGAGUAGUCC
rnacentral:rRNA from 1 species